UACAGAGGGUGCAAGCGUUAAUCGGAAUUACUGGGCGUAAAGCGUGCGUAGACGGUUAUGUAAGUCGGGUGUGAAAGCCCCGGGCUCAACCUGGGAAUGCCAUUCGAGACUGCAUAGCUAGGGUGCAGAAGAGGGAAGCGGAAUUUCCGGUGUGAGCGGUGAAAUGCGUAGAUAUCGGAAGGAACACCAGUGGCGAAAGCGGCUUCCUGGUCCAGCACCGACGUUCAGGCACGAAAGCGUGGGGAGCAAACAGG
rnacentral:rRNA from 1 species